GAAUCAAGUGAUGAAAUUGGAUUAAAAUUUCUCACGACGGUCGUCUGAGACACUUAAAGUGUCGUCGAUGAUACAAUGAUCCAAUAUUCUGAUGGUU
rnacentral:snoRNA from 1 species